AGUCCUGAGAAGGCUGUAGUGUUGAUGCGGACACAUAAACGAUAAAGUCCGACACUUCUCACACGAGGAGUGAUGACGAGGGCAAGAAUACGGGCAACUACUAGCUUGGCCUUCUAAAGUGCCACAGAGACGAGCUGCAUGGAAACAUGCAGGUGAAACGCGGUAAACUCCAUCAGGAAA
rnacentral:RNase_P_RNA from 1 species